rnacentral:rRNA from 1 species
GACGAACGCUGGCGGCGUGCCUAAUACAUGCCAGUCGAACGCUGAAGGCGGAGCUUGCUUCUCUGGACGAGUUGCGAACGGGUGAGUAACGCGUAGGUAACCUGCCUGGUAGUGGGGGAUAACUAUAGGAAACGAUAGCUAAUACCGCAUAAGAGCAGAUGUUGCAUGACAUUUGCUUAAAAGGUGCAAUUGCAUCACUACCAGAUGGACCUGCGUUGUAUGUGCUAGUUGGUGGGGUAACGCCUCACCAAGGCGAGGAUACAUAGCGGACCGGGGAGGGUGAUCAGCCGGACUGGGAGGGUGACCGGGCACAGACGGCUACGGGAGGGAGCAGGAGGGAAUCUUGGGCAAUGGACGGAAGUCUGACCGAGCAACGCCGAGUGAGUGAAGAAGGUUUUCGGAUCGUAAAGGUCUGUUGUCAGGGAAGAACGAGUGUGAGAGUGGAAAGUUCACUCUGUGACGGUAACUUACAAAGAAGCAACGGCUAACUACGUG